UGGGACCCACUUAAGUAGGGCCCGUGGAGCUUGGCUGACAAUCUCCCUCUGCUUCACACCACCCCUACCCCCACGCACACACACACAGGAAAAGGCCGGCACCUUUUACCUCCCCUGUGGCCAGGUUUAAUUCUCUCACUCCGUGUUCCAAACCUGGAAUGGAGUGGGGGGUGGGGGUGGGGGUGAAGGAUGCUAGAAGACAGGCGUUGGCGAGGGGAAAGGACAACAGGAGGGCAGAAUGGAAACUCAGCAGUAAAUCAGAGUUCAGACACAGUGUUUACUUACGAAAUUUGGGGCUGGUGCUAGUUUCUGGCGUGGUGGUGGUAGAGAAGGAAGACGAGGAGAAGGAAGAGGAGGAGGCAGCAUCCUGAAAGGGAGACAGGGUCCAGGAGGGAGUCGAAUCAUGAAGGCAGCGUGUCAGAAGUGUCAUUAUGGAGAAAGGGAAUCCUGCACAUCAAAUUUGGUCUGUCACACUGUGCCUUCAAAGAAGACUUAAACUGAGUUGUACAUACUUUGGUUAAGCGAAGUCAAAGGUCACAUAUCAUUUCUGAAAAUACAGCAGAUAAAUGCUUUCCAGGAGAUACAUACCCGAGGAGCAGGGGCUAGGUCAUUCCUUGAAAACUGCUGCCUUGGACAAGUUUAUAACCAAGAAGAAGAAACACUAUGUCCAGUGUUAUUUUUUGCCCUGAGGACUUGGGGUAAGAGGAAGUUGAGGCUUCAAAUGGAACCAUCUUGAUAUCUUGCGACCUGGUAGAGUUAUCAUUCCCCCGUAUCUCAGCUACAAAUGACAACAAGCCACAAAGAACAUAAAACACCAAGAUACAGAAGGCAAGUGACGCCUUCUAUGACGGAUCCUAAGACAAACUUAUUGGCACAACCUGGGACAUCAGUAAUGCUAAGUACAGGUCAGAUAAGAAGAGUUUUGAGAUCAGCUCUGAAAAUGGAGAGAUGAAGAGGAAAAAGAAAGAAUUCCAGCUGCCAUGAAAUCUGAAGUUGUAUGACCCUGAGCUCUGCCAACAACCUGAAGGAGCUUAGAAGUGGAUCCUUCCCCAGUCAAUCCUCCAGACGGGAACAGAGUCUAACCAACACCUUGAUAGUCUGUUUAACUGAUAAAUUAUCUGAUCUUGAUCAUGGAAGCAAAGCAGAAGUCUUAAACACAUAAACAGUAUAAUCCAUCCCAUGGAAUUAGAGUGAAUCAGUUUAACACUUCAAGCAGAUUACAGGAUCAGUAGAAUUAGCAGAAGGAAAGUCAGUGCAUUUGCUGUUUUCGUUAAUAACUAAUGAUGGAGGGGCUUCCCUGGUGGUGCAGUGGAUGAGAAUCUGCCUGCCAAUGCAGGGAACAUGGUUUCGAUCCCCAGUUCGGGAAGAUCCCACAUGCCGCGGAGCAACUAAGCCUGUGCACCAAAACUGCUGAUCCUGCACUCUAGAACCCACAAGCCACAACUGCUGAGCCCGCGCGUCACAACUACUGAAGCCGGUGUGCCUAGAGCCCAUGCUCCACAACAAGAGAAGCCACCGCAGCGAGAAGCCUGAGCACCGCAAUGAAGACUAGCCCCCGCUCGCUGCAAGUAGAGAAAGACUGCGUGCAGCAAAGAAGACCCAACACGGCCAAAAAUAAAUAAAUAAAAUAAAAUUUCUUUAAAUUAAAAAAAACUA